AUUGAACGCUGGCGGCAUGCCUUACACAUGCAAGUCGAACGGCAGCACGGGUGCUUGCACCUGGUGGCGAGUGGCGAACGGGUGAGUAAUACAUCGGAACAUGUCCUGUAGUGGGGGAUAGCCCGGCGAAAGCCGGAUUAAUACCGCAUACGAUCUACUGAUGAAAUCGGGGGACCUUCGGCCCUCCCCCUUUCGGUUUGCCGGUUGGCUGAUUAGUUGGUUGGGGGGGUAAAGGCCUACCAAGGCGACGAUCAGUAGCUGGUCUGAGAGGACGACCAGCCACACUGGGACUGAGACACGGCCCAGACUCCUACGGGAGGCAGCAGUGGGGAAUUUUGGACAAUGGGCGAAAGCCUGAUCCAGCAAUGCCGCGUGUGUGAAGAAGGCCUUCGGGUUGUAAAGCACUUUUGUCCGGAAAGAAAUCCUUGGCCCUAAUACGGUCGGGGGAUGACGGUACCGGAAGAAUAAGCACCGGCUAACUACGUG
rnacentral:rRNA from 1 species